rnacentral:rRNA from 1 species
GUUAAACACCUGCAUUAUUUGACGUUACCUACACGAAGAAGCACCGGCAACUCCGUGCCAGCAGCCGCGGUAAUACGGAGGGUGCGAGCGUUAAUCGGAAUUACUGGGCGUAAAGCGCAUGCAGGCGGCCUGUUAAGUCAGAUGUGAAAGACCCGGGGCGUUAACCUCGGAAUUGCAUUUGAAACUAGGCAGGCUAGAGUCUUGUAGAGGGGGGUAGGAAUUUCAGGUGUAGCGGUGAAAUAGCGUAGAGAUCUGAAGGAAUACCAGUGGCGAAGGCGGCCCCCUCGGACAAAGACUGACGCUCAGAUGCGAAAGCGUGGGGACGCAAACAGGAUUAGAUACCCCUGGUAG